AUCCCCCCAGGGCAAAAAAAAAAGUUUCUAUCAUGAAAACAACUAAUGUUUUUGCAUUAUAGUAACUUUUUGAUUUUCACUAUCCUAACUCUGUUUUCUAUCCUAACUGUCAAAAUGAGAUUUUACCCAAAAUCUGCCUAGCUGGCAUAAUGGUACUGCCUUCAUUAGAGGAUACGAGAAUUCUUGGAUUUACUUCUCCGCGUUCAUUAGCGGUAAAAACGACUUGCAUAGGUUCAGAGGGACGCGGUGGAGCGGAUGGACGACGAAUAAAUCUAGAGUUGUUUCCUCCCCCCCAAAAUUUAAGUUUUAAAAAUUUAUAAAAUUUGAAAACUAACCAAAUUGAAAAUGAAAUAAGUAUUAUAAUAAUAACCAUUUUCCAAAAUGAAAAGGAGUGUUUUUCCAAUUCAAUAUCCAUUAAUUGGAUUUUUCCGGCAUUCAUUAUUUUUAAAUUAUUGAUUUCGUCAAAAAGUGUUUUUUCAUUAAAUUUUGAUAAAGUUUGAUCUUUUAUUGUAUCAGGAAUUUUUUCAUCGAUUAAUUUUGUUUCUUGCGGAGCUCGGGGAAAAUCUAUUUUUACAUGCUCAAAUUCAAAAUCAGAUGAACUACUUGCAAAGUAAUGAAAAUAUAUGUUUCCGGAUUUAAUUAAGCAUGGCUUGAUUAUUUUUAAUUUUCCAACUCCAUUGAGUUCCAAAUUAGAUAAUUUAUUGUUGUGAAGAAUAUUAAUCACGUGUUUCAAAAAUGUGGAUAAAUGGACAUAAUCUAAAAUCCUGCACCGAUAUACAUUUUUCAUAUUCCAUGAAUUUCAUUGUUGUAACCAUGCUAUUAUUUAAAGCCUUUAAAACAACGUCAUUUUCAAGGGCAACAAUAAAUAAUUUAUUUUCUUUUAUUGUUGGUACACUUGUACUUUUAUAAGCCUCAAAUAUAACAUUACUGGCAAUCGGUAUAAUAAUAUUCAUUUCCAAUCCACAACCUUCAGUUUUAGUUCGUAUUUUACUGAAUUUAUAAAAUUUCAUAAUAUUAUUAUAAUUCAAUUGGACAGGGAACUCAAGCCCAUUAGUAAUUGAUUUUGUUGCUUUACCCAACUCAACAAACAAUGACUUUGGGCUCAACAAAUCAGGAGUUAAAUCCAUUUCUCCUGUUUUCAUUAAAGUUAACACAAAAUCUUUUCUUUUAAUAACACGUGUUAACAAUAAAUUCAUCUCGCCAAGUAAAUCUGACAAGUGAUUUCUCGCCAGGUUUUUCAUUUUUUCUUCAUUUUUCUGCUUAUUGAUAGAUUCAAUAGCAAGCGAGAAAUUUAGUAAUUUAUUUUGGACAUUAUAAAUCGUAUGAUUUGUAACUCCAAAUAUUGAGUCGAUAGCAAUUGUCUGUUUGUGUAAUUUCCAUCAACUUUUGUUCGUUGGCAUGUAUUUUGAGCAAAUCAUCGUCUACUCUUUUGGAGUCGUCACUAUCCAUAACUCCUGUGAUUUCCUUAAAAAUAUGACCAACAAAAUUGAUUUGUCUCUUUGGACGAAUAGAAACAUCAAUAUUGCAUUGCACACCUAUGAUGUUUUUAAUACUUUCAAAAUUUUUAAUUUCAAAAUCAAUUUCAUUUAAUAUUUGAACACAGUCAAAACCAAAAUCAGAAUCAAGUUUUGAACAUGUGUCAUUUAUAUAUUUUGAAAGAAUUUCCACUACUUGAAUUUCGUUCGUUAAAGUUUUUAGAUUUAUUGAAGAAUGUAAAAUCCAUUCUCCAAACUGAAAUUUUACAUUUUCUAAGUUCUCAUAUAUUAUACCAUGUUUGUAUAAUGGAUCAACUUCUACCGACCUCGAUGCCUCGGUGAAAUUUCCUCCAAUGAUCAAUAUUACUAAGCAUAGUAAUUUAUCCAUUGCCUGCAAAGACAAAGGGGAAAAAAAAUUAUUUUCACAUGCUUUAAAUUGUACAUUAAAAUAAAAUAAAAAAUUGUUCAUUCAUUAUAUCGUUUUAAACGAUCAUUAUGAACAACUAUUUUCCUGUUUGUACCCUUCAAUAAAACAGUACAAGUUUGAGGUGUGUUAAUAGCGAUAACUUCAUGAGGGCCAUUAUAUAAUCCCUGAAGUUUUCUUCCAGCGCCUGUAGUGACAUUUUCUAGAAGAACUUUAUCACCCCACAUUGGUAACCAAUCAUUGGUUUUUUCAUCAUAUUUUUCUUUCCUUUUAUGCUUGGAACAUAUUAAAUUUGCUCUGGCUGAUUUCUGUAUAACUUCCAAGUUAUACCUCAAAUCAGAUAAAUACGAAAAAUAUGUCGCAUUUUCUUUAUAUGCUGAGCAUAUUGAUGAAGGUAAUUCCGCUUUGUAUCCAAACAUUAAUUCAUGAGGAGAAAAUCCAGUUGAUGAAUGAAUGGUUGUAUUGUAAGUAAAAGCGAAAUAUUGGAUGUAUUCAUCCCAAUCAUCUAAAUUUUCACACACGUAUGAUCUCAUAUAUUCUUUAAGAGUUCUAUGACAUCUCUCAAGAGCUCCAUUGCUCUGAGGAUGAUACGCUGUGGUUUGUAUUUGACUAACAUGUAAAAGUUUACAGAGUGUUUGAAACAAUUUGCUUAUAAAAUUAGUACCUCUGUCCGUCACAAGUUCCUUGGGUACUCCAUAAACACAAAUUGCACUCUCUAGAAAGGCUCUACAAGUUGUUUCUGCUGUAGCAUCUGGAAUCGCUUUUGCAAUAAACAGCUUUGUAAGAUCAUCUUGAAUCGUCAAGAUGUAGUUAUUAUUCUUUUUGGUAGUAGGUAGAGGACCUACUAUAUCAAGAAAUAUUUUCUCAAAUGGUUUUGAAGAUGUACUGGUUAUCUUCAAUGGAAUUUUGUUUUUAGAUAAAAUUUUGUUUUUCUGGCAUUCGGUACAUUUUUCGAUAAAUUGCUUGAUAUCUUGUCUCAUAUUUUUCCAAGUAAAUCUCUCACUAAUUCUCUUAAAUGUGCGUUCUAUGCCUUCAUGACCUCCCAAUGUACUUUUAUGAAACUCGUUUAAAACGGUUUCUAUAUCAUGUUUUGACUUUAAUUUUUUUAUUGUGUAAUUAACAAAACACAACUUAUUAUUCAUAUUUGAAAAUAUGUGCGAAACAAUAAGUUUCAGUUUAUUCCAAUUGAUUUCAUCAAUUGAACGGGGAAUAAAAUGAAAGUUUAAAAUUUUAUUUGUUGUUUCCCUAAUAUUUUCUUUGAGUUUCAUCAAAUUUUUAUACAGUUCAUAAUAACAAACAUUGUGCGCAUAAUGAUUUUUGCUUAUUAUGAAGUGAAAAUUUGAUUUUUGUAUCAAUCCAUAACCAUCUAUGUUACUGGAUUCAAAAUCUUUUUUGUCAAAAUCGUACUCGAUAGUUGGAUCAAGUAGUUUUGGAACAAUAUAUACAUGAAUAUUGUUUUUGUUUUUGUCGGCCUUUUCUUGAAUAUUUUUGUUCACUUCUGGAUCCUUUAAUAAUAUGUAACUUCCAUAAUCUUGUGCUACUCCACUUGAUAUGGGUACAUUAAUUAUUCUUCGAUCGGUUUUUUGUGGGUUGGCUAGGUCUUUUGCCUGUUGCCUUGUUAUAACAUUUAUUCUUUUUGAGAUAUGCGCUUUGUGCUUUUUUAUCUCUCUUUCUAUGUUAUUAGUAAUUAGAUCUGCAGAAUCUAAAUUACAUAACUCAAUACGACUCAAUGCGUCAGCGACGACAUUAGUUUUUCCAGGUGUAUACAUCACUCUGAAAUCGUAUUCUUCCAAUAGUAUACGCCAUCUCAUUAAUCGAUCAGACGCUUCUGAAAUAUUGAAAAGGUAAACCAAUGGCUUGUGGUCAGAUUUUACUAUAAAUUCUUGACCGUACACAUAUGGUUUAAAAUGUUUGACUGCCCACACUAUGGCAAGCAGUUCCCUUUCCACAGUUGAAUACCGUCUCUCUGCGGGAUUCAAAAUCCUGCUAGCAUAUGCUAUAGGCAAGUUAAUUCCUUCAUUUGAAAGAACUGCACCCACGGCAACAUUACUCGCGUCAGUUGUUAUGACGAAUUUCUUUUUGAAAUCAGGAUAUUGUAGAAUAGGUGAGCUGAUCAACAACGAUUUCAACUCAUUGAAAGAUUGUUGACAUUUUUCGCUCCAAACAAAACGUUCUCCUUUUCUCAGUAAUUUGUUUAUGGGUUCAGCUAGAUUUGCUAAACUGGGUACGAAUUUUCGAUAAUAGCUGAGAAUUCCCAAAAACAUUUUGAUUUCUUUCGCAUUCUUUGGCGUCGGAAAAUUUUUAAUGGCACAUAAUUUUGAUUCAUCGGGCAAUAUGCCAUUUGGUGUUAUUUUAUGCCCUAAAAACAUAAUUUCUUUUUGUAAGAAAUUACAUUUACUUGGUUGAAGCUUAAGAUUGUGCUUCCUGAGGCAAUCUAAAAUUUCACAUAGUUUUUCAUUAUGUGUUUUUAAAGUAUCUCCGUAUACGACUAUGUCGUCCAUGUAUAUAAAACAUUUAAUACCUUGCAGUCCUGUUAAAACUGUAUUCAUAAGGCGUUGAAAAGUAGCAGGUGCAUUUUUUAAUCCAAAAGGCAUACAAACAUAUUCAUAGUGCCCAUAAGGAGUUGAAAAAGCAGUUUUGGCUGCAUCUUGUGGAUCCAUUUUAAUUUGAUGGAAACCACUAGCCAAAUCUAAAUUAGAAAAGUAUCUUGCUUUUCCUAA